rnacentral:rRNA from 1 species
GAUGAACGCUGGCGGCGUGCCUAAUACAUGCAAGUCGAGCGAACAGACGAGGAGCUUGCUCCUCUGACGUUAGCGGCGGACGGGUGAGUAAAACGUGGAUAACCUACCUAUAAGACUGGGAUAACUUCGGGAAACCGGAGCUAAUACCGGAUAAUAUAUUGAACCGCAUGGUUCAAUAGUGAAAGACGGUUUUGCUGUCACUUAUCGAUGGAUCCGCGCCGCAUUAGCUAGUUGGUAAGGUAACGGCUUACCAAGGCAACGAUGCGUAGCCGACCUGAGAGGGUGAUCGGCCACACUGGAACUGAGACACGGUCCAGACUCCUACGGGAGGCAGCAGUAGGGAAUCUUCCGCAAUGGGCGAAAGCUUGACGGAGCAACGCCGCGUGAGUGAUGAAGGUCUUCGGAUCGUAAAACUCUGUUAUUAGGGAAGAACAAAUGUGUAAGUAACUAUGCACGUCUUGACGGUACCUAAUCAGAAAGCCACGGCUAACUACGUG